AGGUGCUCUGCCCAAUCACAGCAGCCCACGGAGGAGCGGACGGGACCUUUAGCGACCAGCCACGUCAGGAAGCUCGUGAGGUCCGGCUCAAGCAAUCAUGGGGAAGAGUGCAAGCAUAUCCAUGAAAAAUUGAGUGGAAGGAAAAGGUGAGGUAGAAAAUGCAACAACACAUAGACUGUAGCUGGAACCUACCUGCUUCUAAACGUCCCAAGCCUUUUAUCCGGGCUAAGAGAAAGAAUCAGACUGCGCUGUUGUUGCUCAGUGGUUCAAAUUUUGCUUUAUCAUAUAGAAGUACCUUUUGUGUUUUAUUUUGAAAUCAAGGUCUCACAAUCUGGAGGAAGAUCUUUCUAAUUCCCGUCUUAAUUAAGACACAAAUCACAUUUUUUUAUGCCACAAAUAACAAAAAGUAAGCUGAAUAUGGAAACACAACUGUUUAUUUACUUAAAAUAUUGGUAUGAACUAACAGGACAGUAGUACUCCCCUACACAUACAUUCUAGCUUUAUGCCUUUUAUUUAUUUAUUUUUUUUGCAUCACUUCCUUUAAAUAUAAAAAGUAUCCAAACUAACAAAGACAGCUUCAUCAAUAAUUUCACAUAAAAGACCCCCCUCCCAUCCCCGCCCCAUCCCUCUUUUCACUUUUAUCUGCGACAGCUGCACAAAACCUAAAAACUUUUUUAAACAUCUCAAAACACUUCCUGGUGGCUCGCGUGCACCCACUUCACUCACACACUCACACAGACUGAUGCUUCAGGCAGGCGCCACAAGCAGCAUGACUCUGCCACACAUCUACAGAGGCUCACACUGAAUAAAUCCAUGUUCUCAUGAAAACACAAACGCACAAGUGCAGCUCUGAACUGCCGAACCAGGGAUUUAAAACGACAGACAUAUUUUAAGGGGACUGGUGUGAACGUAAGCCCCUCAUCUCAAAGUGAAGAAUCCCGGGUCAGUAGAUUAGUUCAUCUGUGCAUUCAGACAGAGAUUUAUUGGUACCCCACGUAAAGAUGGAUGAAACGCCUAAAAUAAGCUUUUAUUGCAGGUAUAUAAUCUCACACAAAACAAUUUAAAAUGUACAUUCAAUUAGUAGGAAAACAAUCCCUAUAGAAGUGAUUAUUAAGAGAACCAGUGUUGGUAUAUUAUUUGUUCCCUACAUCUGAUAAUGGCAACCAAGAGUGAACCAGGAAAAAAAAAAAGGUUUGUCCAACCAUCACAAACAUAAAGAUUUAAAACUUGCAAUUAUACUACAAUUGGGUUUGAACCAAAGGUCGAGUAUGUGGGAACUACUGGAGGGGCUGUUAUGCUGUGGGCCUUAUUCUUGUGCAAAACCAGUACAUUUGAAAUAAAAAUCUGAAGGCGUGUCCCAGUAAACUUAAAGAAAAAAUGAGCCAUGUUUGAGCUGGCAAUAUUAACACUGAAGUGAUUCACAAAGCAUAGAAUCAUUA